GGGUCAGUAGGUUGGUCGUGCCACCGGUACGUACUGGUCUCACUGAUUCCUCCUUCCUGAAGAACCGUAAUGCCAUUAAUUUGGUGUUGCGGGGAAACAGGACUGUUACUUUAAAAAAAUUAGAGUGUUUAAAGCAAGCUAACGCUUGAAUACAUUAGCAUGGAAUAACGAAAUAGGACGAUCGAUCCUGUUUUGUUGGUUUCUAGGAUUGACGUA
rnacentral:rRNA from 1 species